AGAGGCGGCCAAGGGACCCUCUUCAGUGAUUCAGCUGAAAACUGAAUGCACAGCCGUUCCUCCACGAGAAAAGCGGGUUUGCAAGCUAACAGGAGGCUCACCAUAUAAAAUAAAGUGGAGGAAUCCCAGAGGGUGAAGGUGCAGAUGGAGGCUGAGAUUUCCUGCCCUUGGACAGCCUGGGGCCUGAUGGACUCCCCCAGGUCACAUGGGCUGCAGCCAGAGAAGCCAGGUGAGAAGGCCAGUUCCUCUCUUCCCCACAUUCCACAAGCCAUAGACAAUCCAGGCCAGGGAAGCCAUCUCCAUUUCCCAAGUCCUCCGUGCUGUCCUUGAGCUGGAUGAAUAAUA